rnacentral:rRNA from 1 species
GACGAACCGUGCGAACGUUGUUCGGAUUCACUGGGCUUAAAGGGCGCGUAGGCGGGUGGCCAAGUCGGGGGUGAAAUCCUUCAGCUUAACUGAAGAAUAGCCUUCGAUACUGGUCGUCUGGAGGGGGGUAGGGGCGGACGGAACUUCCGGUGGAGCGGUGAAAUGCGUAGAUAUCGGAAGGAACGCCGGCGGCGAAAGCGGUCCGCUGGACCCCCACUGACGCUGAGGCGCGAAAGCCAGGGGAGCAAACGGG